GACGAACGCUGGCGGCGUGCUUAACACAUGCAAGUCGAGCGGAAAGGCCCUUUCGGGGGUACUCGAGCGGCGAACGGGUGAGUAACACGUGAGUAAUCUGCCCCUGGCUUUGGGAUAGCCACCGGAAACGGUGAUUAAUACCGGAUACGACCACUUCUCGCAUGGGCUGGUGGUGGAAAGUUUUUCGGCCAGGGACGUGCUCGCGGCCUAUCAGCUUGAUGGUGAGGUAAUGGCUCACCAUGGCCUCGACGGGUAGCCGGCCUGAGGGGGUGACCGGUCAAACUGGGACUGAGACACGGCCCAGACUCCUACGGGAGGCAGCAGUGGGGAAUAUUGGACAAUGGGCGGAAGCCUGAUCCAGCAACGCCGCGUGAGGGAUGACGGCCUUCGGGUUGUAAACCUCUUUCAGCAGGGACGAAGCGCAAGUGACGGUACCUGCAGAAGAAGCACCGGCCAACUACGUGCCAGCCGCCGCCGUAA
rnacentral:rRNA from 1 species